ACUCCCGCCCUCCUACUUUGCGACACUUUCACUUACGGCCCCCCGGAAUGUAACCAAUAAAAUCCACCAAGGUAACUGCAAUAUGCUCUGCAGCGACCAAUAGAAAGAUGGGCUGGUCACCAUAGCAACUGUAGCCAUGGAAGCGAUGCUGUCAAUCAGUAUCCCCCACCUCCAGUGUCACCCCUCCCAGUGUCUCUUGCAUUGCCCUAAGAGGAGGUAAGAUACCAGCUGAUUCCUUGCACACGUUACACUUGGCCACAAUUGAGAACAGAACUGGUCCCGAAUGUCACUGGCCCAGAGCAAAGGACCAACAAGGACUGUUUGACAGGAGUCAGGAUGAUAUAACAAGCAAAUCCUUGUCAGAUGCUGCUUCCUCAGUCCUGGACUUCCCAGACUCCAGAAUAAGACAUGCCAAAUAAUAAGGAUUUUCAAAGAAUGAAAACUGGAGGCUUACUAUCCCAUGGGUUGAGACUUGCAAGGAAGUAAUCCUUCUCACAUAAGGAAUGGGGCACCAUGUCAGGACACCCAGAGACCUGGAAGAGUUCAGUAAGAAGUGAAACUGAAGCUCUUGUUAAGGGCCAGCUUCACAGCCAUGUGAGUGAACCACCUUGGGAGUGAAUCUGCUACACCAUACCACCUCAGCCUCCCGUCUAGCUAGCAUUACAGCUUUGAGCCACACUACACCCAGCUCAGCUAAUUUUCACAUGACAAAAGCUCAUAAACAAAAUAUUAAAAAUCACUCAUAUUUAGAGGAAUGCAAAUUAAAACUAUACUGAUACACUGUAUCUUAUCCCUCAGGCAGACAAAAAUUUUAAAAUGCAACAGGCUAUGGGGAAGCAGGCAUUCUCAGGCAUUGCUGGUGGAAAUACAAAUUGGUACCACCCUUCUGGAGAGAAGUUUGCAAUACAUAAUUUAAAAACUACGUAUGCAGGGCUGGGGAUUUAGCUCAGUGGUUCCAGUUCCGCCACCUGCCUUGAAAGCACAAGGUACUGGAGUUCAAUCCCCAGCACCAAAAAAAACCCCCUACAUAUCCUCUUAA